UUAAGUGGGAACAUACAAUUCAGACUGGUGUUCCAAUUGACUUAAGAGGGUUUAAUACCAGCUACCUCGUUCUACAAGCUAUGGCCAUGUGGGGGAAUGACAGACGACUGAAAUUUGUUGGGGAUGCAAAGACUCUUCGAAGAAACUUUGUGAUUGAUCUUUUAAGUUAUGAGGACAAUUCAUGCCG